rnacentral:rRNA from 1 species
UACGGGGGGGGCAAGCGUUGUUCGGAAUUACUGGGCGUAAAGGGCUCGUAGGCGGCCAACUAAGUCAUACGUGAAAUCCCUCGGCUUAACCGGGGAACUGCGUCUGAUACUGGAUGGCUUGAGUUUGGGAGAGGGAUGCGGAAUUCCAGGUGUAGCGGUGAAAUGCGUAGAUAUCUGGAGGAGCACCGGUGGCGAAGGCGGCAUCCUGGACCAACACUGACGCUGAGGAGCGAAAGCCAGGGGAGCAAACGGG